UGUUGCAUGGACGCACUCUGACCAGCCAUGCCGCGUGCAGGAUGACGGCCCUAUGGGUUGUAAACUGCUUUUAUACAGGAAAAACACCACCCACGUGUGGGUGACUGACGGUACUGUAAUAAUAAGGACCGGCUAACUCCGUGCCAACGACCGCGGUAAUACCGAGGGUCCAAGCGUUAUCCGGAAUCAUUGGGUUUAAAGGGUCCGUACGCGGGCUAGUAAAUCCUAAGUGAAAGUUUGCACCUCAACUGUAAAAUUGCCUUUGAUACUGUUAGUCUUGAGUUAUUCUGAAGUGGUUAGAAUAUGUGGUGUAACGGUGAAAUGCAUAGAUAUCACUUACAAUACCGAUUGCCAAUGCAGAUCACUAACUGUAUACUGACGCUGAGGGACGAAAGCUUGGGUAGCGAACGGGAUUAGAUACCCCGGUAGUCCAUGCUGUAAACGAUGGAUACUACCUGUUGGCUUCUGUCAGUGGCUAAUCGAAAGUGAUAAGUAUCCCACCUGGGGAGUACGUUCGCAAGAAUGAAACUCAAAGGAAUUGACGG
rnacentral:rRNA from 1 species